CCGAGGACUUAAUCUUUUACUUGGUUAUUAAAAAAAUUAUUCUUUUUUUAGUAAAAUAAAAUACAAGUUAUAAUUUUUUAAUAUAUAAGAAAAAAUCUUUUACCUCCCCCAAAACAAGACUAGAAGCUUAUUAUGAAGAUCAAAUUUAUAUAGUUUAAAGAAUGUAAAAUAAAUGACAGUAGAAUAACUCGAGUUAAGGAAUUUUGAAAAAUAAAUUGAUAAUCCUCAAUUUUAUUUACUUUAUAAAAUUUUUUGUGCGGCUGUUUAAUAAAACUUUAGUAGGAUAAGUUUAAAUCAGGUUAUGUAUUAUUUUUCUAUAAAGGAAUUUUUGAAAUGCAUUUUAAGUUUAAAAAGUAAUUAGUUUAUUAAAAUAUUUUAAUUAAUAAUAGUACCUAACAGUAAUAAACAAAUUUUUGAACCCUAUUUAUUCUAGGCUCAAAUCGUCCGUCACUCUCAUUUU
rnacentral:rRNA from 1 species